UACGGAGGGGGCUAGCGUUGUUCGGAAUUACUGGGCGUAAAGCGCGCGUAGGCGGACCUGCAAGUCGGGGGUGAAAGCCCGAGACUCAACCUCGGAACUGCCUUCGAUACUGCGGGUCUCGAGUCCGGGAGAGGUGAGUGGAAUUCCUAGUGUAGAGGUGAAAUUCGUAGAUAUUAGGAAGAACACCAGUGGCGAAGGCGAUCAUCUGGGGUUGUUCUGACACUGAGGAGCGAAAGCUAGGGGAGCAAACGGG
rnacentral:rRNA from 1 species